UAUAAUUUGUUUCUACUCGGGAGGCUUGCAUUGCUCUGCUCGUCGUUGGUCAUAUGUGAACUUCGAAGAGUCCGCUUGUACGAAUGGCGGAGUCCCCAAUGAUUCCCGUGCUGUCGUUCUUUCCACCUGGUUUUAUCUUCGACUCCGACGUCCGAGCAUGCCCUCAAAAUCGCCAGAGUCUCUCGGUUUUUCCACCUCUUCAUUCUCGUCUUCAACAUGAGGCCUUCCAGAGCAGUUGCGCAAGGCCACCAGGAACCAUAUGUUCGGACCCGAGAGAACCCAUAUUUCAAUGGUCUGUUAAAAGGAGAUGAUCUGGCUACCUUUGACUCUCAAGGGAGUAUCAGCAGCCGAAACAUUUCUCGGUCCCCAUCAGAUAUUGGUGACUUCAGACAUGGACUCAUUUCAAAUAUGUCUGGAAAGGUCAUGGACUCACCAUACGAAGAUUCAAUCUCAGAUAUUAUUCUUGGACCCCUUGACUUUGACUUUCAAGUAAGUUCUGACAGCCAGAGCUUUUCUCAGCCCAUAUCCGAUAUUGGUGACACAAGAAACAAAAGGAAUGUUUCAAGAAUAUCUGAGAAGGUCAUGGAUUCACCUCUAGAAAAUUCAGUCUCAGGUAUUAUUCUUGAAAAGUUUGAUCAGCCUUCAUCUGAGAGGUGGUCAAGGUCAAAUAAUUUCAAAACAACUUCAUUUGUACCCCCAAGUGUUCAACCAGAGUUAAACUUUGACCUGGCUGUACAAAAUGAUUCAAUGCUUGAUGCUAGUCCUACAACCUUUGAAGGAAAUGAUGAGUACCAUGCUUUAAAUUAUCUGGAAAGGCCAGUAUUUGAAAAAUCAUACCGCAUGGAAAAAAGGAAGCCAGACCUCUCAAGGAUUCCGCUUCCUCAGUCUGCUGCUAUGUUUUAUAAUGGGUCCUCACCAGAAAUGGAAAUUGUUGAAUCAUGUGAAAGUGUCAAUUUGUUAAAUAUAUAUUUGAAAGCCAGAAGGGAUGAUGUCAAUGCUGGUGUGCCAGGAAAAUUCUUACAUGCAGUAAUGGGGCAAGAUCUAUCUGAUGUUGGACUAAUUGCUUCAACAAUCAUGUAUGCCUUCUACUUGAAUGAAACAUGCAAGAGCGACCAGUUGUGCACUGUGCCUGUCAUCAACAUGAAGAGGGCAGACCUGGGUUCUCACGCUGAAAUUAAAUGGUUGAUUGAAUCAUGCCAAAUUGAUCAGUCAUCCUUAUUUUUUAUAGAUGAGAUUGACCUGUCAUAUUAUGACCUUUUUGGGAGUCUUAAGCUAGUUCUAGUAAACAGCCACACGCUUUCAAUUAAACAAGAGGCAUUAAAGGAGGCGGUAGUUGAAACCUUCAGUUGCAGAAAGGGUGAAUCUACAUAUCCUUGGGUUGAGACUGUUACUGUGGGACAGGAUUGCUCAUGCUGCACGCUUAUAUCUGAGAAGUUUGCACUGACUUCACCUGAGAUUUUGACCGGACAAGGAUUCAGUAGACUUUUGCUAGCUGGCAUCCUCACAGAUACUGGAAAUCUUACCCAUCCUCACUGUACCUCAAAAGACAAGUACAUGGUUACACUAUUACUCCAUGGUGCUGGUCACUUUGGAUGCAAAGGCCUCUACUACAUAUUGAAAUACAAAAUGUAUGAUGUGUCUGAUCUCAGAAUAGUUGACAUCUUGCGCAAGGAUUUCAAAAAGUGGAAAAGAGAAAGCCAGAAGCUGCUGGGUCAAGACUGAUGGUGUCACACAUCGGGAUGAGUUCUAUUGCAAUUUCAAUUGCCGAACUUCUUACUCGUGAAGAUUACUCAUUUCAAGAAAUCAGAAGUUUCCAGCGUCAGUAGUUGAUUAGAUAUAAAAAUUCAAAUUUAGAUAUAUACCAUCAGCACACAAAGAAAUCAAACAAAUUGUGACGGUAUCACGAUUUUUUUUCAGUUUUUCUCCAUGGUGGCUUUGAACUGGGAAAGUAUUUCUUUGUUGCAUUAAACUAACUUUAAGUACGUCCCUACCAAGUCCUAAGCAUCUUAGUCACUGUUCAGAGUUUCCUAUAUAGGUUCAAGUAGAUUGUCCAAAUAUAUUUCAUCGUCUGUGGUGCUCAUCAACCUACAUUCUAAACUGAAAAAAAGUAUGAUCCUCAAUAAACCAAAAAAAGAACUGCACAUACAAUUUUUUUUUUUUAUAAUUGCACAGAAAAUCUAGCUGGCUGUCAGCUUUUAAAAAGUUUUAAAAGAAAAAGAAUACACAGACCGAGUCACGAUGGCAACAAUGGUCUCUCUGGGGAUGCAAAGCUGUGGUGGCAGACACAGGAUGAGGAUCUGCUGGAGAGCCUUUGAAAGGCUCUCUGCUCCUAUGCUUUCUGCUUGCACAUCUCCUUUCAGUAUACUGUGUACAUAAUCUCUGACAUAAUGGUAGUCAUGAUCUGCUAGCCCUCAAUUGAUCUAGAAAUUAAUUCUAAUUACAAAUAUAAUCAUGUUUCACUGAGGCUAAAAUUUCUCUUUUGUUUUCUUUUUCUUUUCGGUUAUAUCAUUUGCAUCAGUAUUUCUGGCUGAAUGAAUUUUUGGAGUUUAGUUUUGGAAAUGACAUUUACAAUUGUCCUUGUUUCCUCUAAAUUUUAGAGUUGGAGAAACUUCGGCUACUGACGAUUGUUUCUGGGUAUUAUGAUUCACAGAAGAAAUUCAAGAGAGAGAUCCUGGUGUCUGCUGAAUCUAUGGAGAUUAUGAGGAACCUAAUUCUUUUCUUCGACUCAAUUGCCUCCCAACUGCCA